GACGAACGCCUGCGGCGUGCUUAACACAUGCAAGUCGAACGGAAAGGCCCUGCUUUUGUGGGGUGCUCGAGUGGCGAACGGGUGAGUAACACGUGAGUAACCUGCCCUUGACUUUGGGAUAACUUCAGGAAACUGGGGCUAAUACCGGAUAGGAGCUCCUGCUGCAUGGUGGGGGUUGGAAAGUUUCGGCGGUUGGGGAUGGACUCGCGGCUUAUCAGCUUGUUGGUGGGGUAGUGGCUUACCAAGGCUUUGACGGGUAGCCGGCCUGAGAGGGUGACCGGCCACAUUGGGACUGAGAUACGGCCCAGACUCCUACGGGAGGCAGCAGUGGGGAAUAUUGCACAAUGGGCGGAAGCCUGAUGCAGCAACGCCGCGUGCGGGAUGACGGCCUUCGGGUUGUAAACCGCUUUCGCCUGUGACGAAGCGUGAGUGACGGUAAUGGGUAAAGAAGCACCGGCUAACUACGUGCCAGCAGCCGCGGUGAUACGUAGGGUGCGAGCGUUGUCCGGAUUUAUUGGGCGUAAAGGGCUCGUAGGUGGUUGAUCGCGUCGGAAGUGUAAUCUUGGGGCUUAACCCUGAGCGUGCUUUCGAUACGGGUUGACUUGAGGAAGGUAGGGGAGAAUGGAAUUCCUGGUGGAGCGGUGGAAUGCGCAGAUAUCAGGAGGAACACCAGUGGCGAAGGCGGUUCUCUGGGCCUUUCCUGACGCUGAGGAGCGAAAGCGUGGGGAGCGAACAGGCUUAGAUACCCUGGUAGUCCACGCUGUAAACGGUGGGUACUAGGUGUGGGGUCCAUUCCACGGGUUCCGUGCCGUAGCUAGCGCUUUAAGUACCCCGCCUGGGGAGUACGGCCGCAAGGCUAAAACUCAAAGGAAUUGACGGGGCCCCGCACAAGCGGCGGAGCAUGCGGAUUAAUUCGAUGCAACGCGUAGAACCUUACCUGGGUUUGACAUGGAUCGGGAGUGCUCAGAGAUGGGUGUGCCUCUUUUGGGGUCGGUUCACAGGUGGUGCAUGGCUGUCGUCAGCUCGUGUCGUGAGAUGUUGGGUUAAGUCCCGCAACGAGCGCAACCCUUGUUCACUGUUGCCAGCACGUUAUGGUGGGGACUCAGUGGAGACCGCCGGGGUCAACUCGGAGGAAGGUGGGGAUGACGUCAAGUCAUCAUGCCCCUUAUGUCCAGGGCUUCACGCAUGCUACAAUGGCUGGUACAGAGAGUGGCGAGCCUGUGAGGGUGAGCGAAUCUCGGAAAGCCGGUCUCAGUUCGGAUUGGGGUCUGCAACUCGACCUCAUGAAGUCGGAGUCGCUAGUAAUCGCAGAUCAGCAACGCUGCGGUGAAUACGUUCCCGGG
rnacentral:rRNA from 1 species